GCCUCCUGAAAAGAACUCACUUUCUUGUACCAUCUGAUAUUUGCCCUUCCCAAUUCCCUAUUUCCCUGCUAUAUUUUUCCCUACACUUCUGCUAUUUUCUCACGAUGUUUUCAUGAGGAAACUUUUUUUUUUUUUUUUUUUUGACAACGUUAAAGUUCUUUUUCACAUCAAGGAUCAUCAGAGUUCCCAGGUAUCACUCCUGCUAAAAAUAGGGACAAACUGAUGCUGUGGAAGAGUUGUUAUUUUUUGUAGUCAGCGUGGAUCCAAUUGGGAAGAUUUCUUCAGCUUUGAAGUUCCAGAGUGACUCAUGAGUGUUAAGAUAACAGACAACUCAAAGGACAGGAGGAAUAAACCUGAACAGACAGGACAAGAUGUACAGAGAGAAAUUAAUUGGAAUAAAAUGCAGCACUUCUUUUCUUACAUCACUGCCUCUGUGGGGCUGCUGACACCACUAGACUGGAAGGAUUCUGCUCAGUCACUGAAGCCAACUAAUGGGAUUCUGCCUGCUGAAAUGAAGCAGAACAUCACUACCAACAGACAGACCGAAGAAGAUGAAAGCUUGCAAAGAAAACUUAUUGCCUCUGGAGGAAAUGCAGCAGCUCAAUUGCAGUAAUCUUCCUUGGUUUUGAAGCACACCCAGGCUGUGCUAUAUCUUCACAUCUUCAGGAUGGAAGCUGCUGCCCAUGGUACUGUGCAGAGGAAUCACAGGAGACUACAGUGCUCCACCUCUGCAGGAAGCAGGCAGCAGUUUCCAAAAGCCAUAAUGUCCUACAACACAGAAAGGCAAGCAUUCCAGGCUAUGGAUUCAUCUUCAAGUUUACUCUUUCCUCCUGACCUAAGAAAGACUACUGUUCUGCAACAGAAUUUCAACAAGAACAAUGUGUGUGCUUGUUCAGUGUUACCUAUUGGCAGGUGAAUAAAGAUCUAUCUUCACCUUGGAAAAAGAAAAGAAGUAUUGCACAGGAUCAGAUACACAGCAGACCUGAACUUUAUUUGCAUCUGCUAAUUCUCUAAGAUAAAUUAUCUAAGCACUUGGUAAUCAAAUAAAUAGGGUUCUCAACAACAGUAACAGAAAUCAUAAUUGGAUUUUGGGGGGAUCUGCUGCUGUUAGUAUGAGACAAAUAUUUUGAGAACACUUCCAGCUUUGAGCUUCUCGGGGAGUGUGGAAAGAAGCUGUUUCUGGCUUAUGCUGAGUGUUGGUACAACUCAGUAUCAGCUGGGCAUCCUGUCAAAACUCUAACAUUUCUAGGAUGUAGAGAUGAGAGCUGUAAGGAAUUUCUCCAAGAAGGAUCAAGCUACUGGAAUUUAAGCACCUUUAGGUAUAAGGGGCAGUAAAUCUAGAGCUUUCACGACUGUGAUUUUGAACCCUUGCACUUCAUCUUCACUUAUAUUCUACUGUAAGCAUUUUAUGUUUGUAUUUAAUGCUUUUUAUUUCUAAAAUAUCCAAUAGUAGUUUUAAGACCCAUGACAUAUUCAUUCUCUGAAAUGUGGAGUUUUCUGUUUACAAUAUUUUACUUUCUGUGAAAAUCAUUCAAGUUCAGCAUAUUUUACUCCAUUUUUGCAAUAAAAAUGCAGGCUUUUUUCAUGAAAAACUAUUUACAUAGUAUUUAAAUUCUACUAUGUAAAGUAAUCCAACUGAUAUUAUUUCUUUUCAUUACCAUUUGCAAAUGUGUGGUUAGUUUGGUUGUUUCUUAAGGGAGGACACUAUGAAACUCAAUUCCUUACUGUCAUAGGGUCCCAGUCAGUGCAUAUUUCUUCUUGCACUGUUCUUAUUUUCCUUCCCUCUGGCCAGCCCACUGAGUGGGAUCCUUUGUUCAUCUAAGCUGUACUUGUCACAAGAAUCAGAGUGGGAGAAAAAGCAGUUCUAAAACAGUGCAUGCUGGAAAUAACAUGGGCCUAAUCUGUAGAGGCUUCUUGGAUUUAUUUUGGUUUCAGUGGUCUCCAAGAAUCUGCUGCUUCUCAGUAGAACUCAGCUGCAGCUGUGUCCUAAUGCCCCUUUCUCUCCAGUCACCUCAAGAUACGAUAGUGUGCCAAGCAGGGAGCUAUGCUUCAGAGGCCCCUCUGACAAGAAUGUUUGUGAGGGUGUUGAUAAGGCAGGAAGAGCAGAGGCCAGAAGAGAGACCCUAGCUUUAAUUCUCUGUGAAUAACAGUCAGCAAGAACAAGCAACAGAAGAGCCAGGGUAGUCGACCAGCAGAUAAAAAUAACAAUCCUGGUUUAAGUUCUUCUGCUUAUCAUUUCAUCCCUUACCUAUUUCUCUACUGUGGUGCUUAUUGAAGCUACAUUAUAGAAUAGUCAUUCUGCUUUCUUUCCCUUUGUGAAGCCACAUAAAGGUAUGUUUAACCAAUCCUGUUGUUGCAGAGGAUACCAAGCCAUGCUCAGGGCUCAUCCUGCCUUCUGGAUGAGACAGCAGAACAGACAGCAGAACAGUUACAGUGUGGCAAAGCACAAUACUGUUUCUAUUUCCCCGCGAAGCCAGCAGUCUUACCUAUCUGUGAUGGCUGCAGCAUGGUGCAGUACUUGGGGGGCUGUAACAGGCUGCUUUUUUCCCCUGCAUGGGCUGUGAGGGCACACUGC
ensembl:lncRNA